UUUGUGCCGUGUCUGAAACGUCAUCGUCACUUAAACAUAUGGCCAAUGAGGUAUCGCUCUUAUACGGUAUAUAAACCGGUUGUCUAUGCCUCCUGGAGUGCGUCACGGUGAAAGGCCCGCCCCCUUUCUUUCAUUGCGGUGGAAUACAGAGUGUGACGUUGGUCCAUCGAGGCUGUGUGUACAUGUGGUGUGCUGCUUACUCCCAGUGCGCUGUGCGCCAUGGCAGGGUAAUAGCCAGGUCGGAGCACCAGCUGUUUAUAGUGGUAUUACCAACUAAAGGAGCUACUAUAUGACUGUGGUUGUGAGUGUUAUGCCAUCCAAAUAUAGGGUGAGUAAAUGGUUUACGUUUUCUUUCUUUGUAGGAUUUUGUAUGUCUUUUCUUAAAAUGAGUUUGUAACGGAUGUUUGUUUCGGAUCCCCGUAUGCACUGAG